GACGAACGCUGGCGGCGUGCCUAAUACAUGCAAGUCGUGCGGACCUUGUUGAAAGCUUGCUUUUAAAAGGUUAGCGGCGGACGGGUGAGUAACACGUGGGCAACCUGCCUGUAAGACUGGGAUAACGCCGGGAAACCGGGGCUAAUACCAGAUCGUUUUUUCCUCCGCAUGGAGGAAAAAGGAAAGGCGGCUUCGGCUGCCACUUACAGAUGGGCCCGCGGCGCAUUAGCUAGUUGGCGGGGUAAUGGCCCACCAAGGCAACGAUGCGUAGCCGACCUGAGAGGGUGAUCGGCCACAUUGGGACUGAGACACGGCCCAAACUCCUACGGGAGGCAGCAGUAGGGAAUCUUCCGCAAUGGACGAAAGUCUGACGGAGCAACGCCGCGUGAGUGAAGAAGGCCUUCGGGUCGUAAAACUCUGUUGCCGGGGAAGAACAAGUGCCAUUCGAACAGGGCGGCGCCUUGACGGUACCCGGCCAGAAAGCCACGGCUAACUACGUG
rnacentral:rRNA from 1 species